rnacentral:rRNA from 1 species
GACGAACGCUGGCGGCGUGCUUAACACAUGCAAGUCGAACGGAGUUUAAAUCAGUAGUUUACUACAGAUUUAAACUUAGUGGCGGACGGGUGAGUAACACGUGGGCAACCUGCCCUAAAGAGGGGGAUAACACCGAGAAAUCGGUGCUAAUACCGCAUAAAAUUAGAGCUUCGCAUGGAGCUUUAAUCAAAGGAGCAAUCCGCUUUAGGAUGGGCCCGCGUCUGAUUAGCUAGUUGGUGAGGUAGAGGCUCACCAAGGCGACGAUCAGUAGCCGAUCUGAGAGGAUGACCGGCCACACUGGAACUGAGACACGGUCCAGACUCCUACGGGAGGCAGCAGUGGGGAAUAUUGCACAAUGGGGGAAACCCUGAUGCAGCAACGCCGCGUGGAGGAAGAAGGUUUUCGGAUUGUAAACUCCUGUCUUUUGGGACGAUAAUGACGGUACCAAAAGAGGAAGCCACGGCUAACUACGUG